rnacentral:tRNA from 1 species
UGUCCCGAUAGCUCAACGGUAGAGCGCAGCUGCGGUUCGUUCGCAGAGACGUUGGUUCGACUCCAACUCGGAUAU